UACAGAGGGGGCAAGCGUUAUUCGGAAUUAUUGGGCGUAAAGGGCGCGUAGGCGGCUUUGCAAGUGACGGGUGAAAUCCCUCGGCUUAACCGAGGAACUGCCUGUCAGACUGCAUGGCUUGAGACCAGGAGAGGUGAGUGGAAUUCCCAGUGUAGCGGUGAAAUGCGUAGAUAUUGGGAGGAACACCAGUGGCGAAGGCGGCUCACUGGACCGGUACUGACGCUGAGGCGCGAAAGCGUGGGGAGCAAACCGG
rnacentral:rRNA from 1 species